UUACGGUUCUCCCAAACAACUGGACCUUCAGUCUCCUCCGACUGGACUUGGAGUAACCAUGUAACGAACGUCGGCCAACUGCUUCGUCGGAGGAGGCUACAACGACAACUCUUCCUGUCUUGUCUGGUGUUAUUUUAUGCUGCGUGGUGACCGGUCCAUGACUUUGGGUUUCCAGUUACUAUGCGGCUAAUCUCUCCAAAUUAAGUGUUCUGAAGUGUUCUUCGUCUUGACUUCUUCGAAGAGCGAAAAGGAUCCAUGCUGAUGGAGAUGGCAGAAUAUCUCUGCAACAUGCAUUCUUGCUUCAGAAACUUGCACCCAGCUUGUAGCUGUCAACCUGGGUCGUUGGAGACACCACAACGAGUAGAGUGAAUAUGUUGUCGGGAUUUUAAUUAUAGGACCUUAGAUAAGGUGUUAGA